rnacentral:rRNA from 1 species
AGAGUUUGAUCCUGGCUCAGAACGAACGUUGGCGGCGUGGAUUAGGCAUGCAAGUCGAACGAAUCCCAGGAGCUUGCUCCUGGGGGAAGUGGCGAAAGGGGCAGUAAUGCGUGGGUAACCUACCCUGGGGACGAGGAUAGCCGUUCUAACGGACGGGUAAUACUCGGCGAUUCGGCAAGGGGACAUCCCCUUGCCGGGAAAUGAGUUUCGCCUCGGGAGGGGCUCACGUGAUAUUAGCUUGUUGGUGAGGUAACGGCUCACCAAGGCAAAGAUGUCUAGCGGGUGUGAGAGCACGACCCGCGCCACUGGCACUGAGACACUGGCCAGACUCCUACGGGAGGCUGCAGUCGAGGAUCUUCGGCAAUGGGCGCAAGCCUGACCGAGCGACGCCGCGUGUGCGAUGAAGGCCUUCGGGUUGUAAAGCACUGUCGAGGGGGAGGAAGCCGCAAGGUUGACCUAUCCCUGGAGGAAGCACGGGCUAAGUUCGUGCCAGCAGCCGCGGUAAGACGAACCGUGCGAACGUUGUUCGGAAUCACUGGGCUUAAAGGGCGCGUAGGCGGGCUUGCAAGUCUGCGGUGAAAGCCUCCAGCUUAACUGGAGAAGUGCCGUGGAUACUGCGGGCCUCGAGGAGGGUAGGGGCAUCUGGAACGUUGGGUGGAGCGGUGAAAUGCGUUGAUAUCCAACGGAACUCCGGUGGCGAAGGCGAGGUGCUGGACCCUUUCUGACGCUGAGGCGCGAAAGCCAGGGGAGCGAACGGGAUUAGAUACCCUAGUAGUCC